rnacentral:rRNA from 1 species
AAUGAACACUGGCGGCAUGCCUUACACAUGCAAGUCGAACGGUAACAGGUCUUCGGAUGCUGACGAGUGGCGAACGGGUGAGUAAUGCAUCGGAACGUGCCCAGUUGUGGGGGAUAACUGCUCGAAAGAGCAGCUAAUACCGCAUACGACCUGAGGGUGAAAGCGGCGGAUCGCAAGACCUCGCGCAAUUGGAGCGGCCGAUGUCAGAUUAGGUAGUUGGUGGGGUAAAGGCCUACCAAGCCGACGAUCUGUAGUUGGUCUGAGAGGACGACCAGCCUCACUGGGACUGAGACACGGCCCAGACUCCUACGGGAGGCAGCAGUGGGGAAUUUUGGACAAUGGGCGCAAGCCUGAUCCAGCAAUGCCGCGUGCAGGAAGAAGGCCUUCGGGUUGUAAACUGCUUUUGUCAGGGAAGAAAUCCUCUGGGUUAAUACCCCGGGGGGAUGACGGUACCUGAAGAAUAAGCACCGGCUAACUACGUGCCAGCCGCCGCGGUAACAC